rnacentral:rRNA from 1 species
GACGAACGCUGGCGGCGUGCCUAAUACAUGCAAGUUGAGCGCUGAAGGUUGGUACUUGUACCAACUGGAUGAGCAGCGAACGGGUGAGUAACGCGUGGGGAAUCUGCCUUUGAGCGGGGGACAACAUUUGGAAACGAAUGCUAAUACCGCAUAAAAACUUUAAACACAAGUUUUAAGUUUGAAAGAUGCAAUUGCAUCACUCAAAGAUGAUCCCGCGUUGUAUUAGCUAGUUGGUGAGGUAAAGGCUCACCAAGGCGAUGAUACAUAGCCAACCUGAGAGGGUGAUCGGCCACAUUGGGACUGAGACACGGCCCAAACUCCUACGGGAGGCAGCAGUAGGGAAUCUUCGGCAAUGGACGAAAGUCUGACCGAGCAACGCCGCGUGAGUGAAGAAGGUUUUCGGAUCGUAAAACCCUGUUGGUAGAGAAGAACGUUGGUGAGAGUGGAAAGCUCAUCAAGUGACGGUAACUACCCAGAAAGGGACGGCUAACUACGUG